GGUGAAUGUAAUAUCUUUAUUUUAUUUUCAUAUGGUGCUGAGGAUGGAACCCAGUGCCUCACGCAUGCUAGGUGAGUGCCCUGCCUCUGAGCCACAACCCCAGCCUUGUCUUUUAUUUUUUUAGAUAUUGUUUUUUAGUUGCAGUUGGACACAUACCUUUAUUAUAUUUAUUUUUAUGCACUACUUAGGGUGCCUUACAUGUCCAGGCAAGUGCUCUACCACUGAACUACACUCAAGCCCAUAGGCACAGUGUGAAGUGAAAGUGAAGAUGGGAACCUGUGAACCUGGACGUGCCAGUGGGAAGAGAGCCCGAGGCUCUGAGGCUGUCCUCAUCUCCCUUUCCCAUGGGCCACCUUGGUAGUUCUUGACCUGCUUGUUAAAUGAGAGGUGGGUGAAACUAAGUCAAAGAACAGAUCUGGUUAUCUUCUUCCCUUAGCCAAGAGUGAAUCCGGAGGUUUCCCUCAAAUAAAUCUCAGGAGUUGUUGAAAGAACACAGCACCAGAAAUCUUUAGAAAAUGGUAGAUAAAGAAAUGUUCCAGUUUUACGAAUCCCCUCUCUUUUGGCCUCUCUGGCAUCCAUUAGUUGAGCAUCUACCACUUCAAAUGCCCUAUCCAUUGCAGUAGCUAUAGAAUUUCCAGGUGGAGAGAAGGAAGGCAUCAAGGCCAACCUGACAGGUCAAGGGGCCAGGCUUGGGGCCUUCCAAGAAAUCUGUUGUAACCAUGAUACUUGACAUUUUCCUCAAGGACAUCUCCAAGGGCAGGAUGGGUUUCCACCAUCGGAUGUCUCAGCCUCAUUAACCCUUUGUAACUGCAGUACCAAUAGUAGGGUCCAUGACCUGUGUGGCUUUAGUAGCUCCCUCCUUGUGCCCUUUGUUUUUUCCUUUAGGGAACUACUCCUUAAACACCCCCAAAUGUCUACCCUUCUGCUUGUAUCCAUUAUGGGUUUUUAUGGUCUGUUGUUUCUAGGCUCAGUGGUUAUAAAAUAAUGCCACCAACUGAAGCCUGUGCACUUAAUUCUGUUGAA
rnacentral:lncRNA from 1 species